rnacentral:misc_RNA from 1 species
UAAUAGCGAUAUCUCAGGUAAACUGCAGAUAGUGUGAUUCCUUGAGUUUUUGAACGCAAAUUGUGCCCUAGCUUCGCUAGGGCGUGUCUGUUUGAGCGCCGAAGACAAUCAUCUUUAAAUGCAAAUUUAUAUGAUGGCUUCGUGGGUCUUCCAUUCUUUUUUGAAGGGAUUGCCUUGAGUAUAUUUCCUAACCUGGAUUUCAUUAAAGGGAUUUAAUGCAAUUUUAAGGUCAAGGGCAUCGGUUAAUUUAUUAGACGGUGAGCCUGAUUUUAGUAUUGUUUUUUAUUCUGAUUUUCAUAUUAGGGGUUUAUUAAUUUAAAAAAUAUCUCGGCCUCAAAUCAAGCACGAUUACCCACUGAAUUUAA